AGCCGGGGAGUUAGCGGUGCCCUGUACCUGCAAUCCGCUAUAGCAGGGGUGAUGUUCUGCCGAGGGUGCUUCCUUGUGGAGCUGCCCCUGGUAAGCGGCGUUGACGUCUUGGUCUCGCGCAACGGGACUCUCUGAACCGUGUCAGGGCAGGAAUGCAGCAGCACUAAGGGGAUCCUCCCGUGUGCCGUGAGGGCGCCGGGGCUGAGCUGGCUGCCAGGGUAACGUCCGUGAGUGGCAUUCGAAGCAGAGCGU
rnacentral:SRP_RNA from 1 species